rnacentral:rRNA from 1 species
GCUGGGAUGUGAUGGGGAGCGAAAUUUAGUAGCGAAGUAGCUGAUUUCACACUGUCAAGAAAAGUCUCUAUCGAGGUUAAAGGUACCCGUACCGCAAACCGACACAGGUGGGUGAGGAGAGUAUCCUAAGGCCAGCGAGAGAACUGUUGUUAAGGAACUCGGCAAAAUGACCCCGUAACUUAGGGAUAAGGGGUGCCACCAUCCGGUGGCCGCAGAGAAUAGGCCCAAGCGACUGUUUACCAAAAACAUAGGUUUCUGCUAAGUCGCAAGACGAUGUAUAGGAGCUGACGCCUGCCCGGUGCUGGAAGGUUAAGGGGAUCUGUUAGAGCAAUCGAAGCAGUGAACUUAAGCCCCAGUAAACGGCGGCCGUAACUAUAACGGUCCUAAGGUAGCGAAAUUCCUUGUCGGGUAAGUUCCGACCCGCACGAAAGGCGUAACGAUUUGGGCACUGUCUCAACAACAGACUCGGUGAAAUUGUAAUUCCGGUGAAGAUGCCGGAUACCUGCGACAGGACGGAAAGACCCCAUGGAGCUUUACUGUAGCUUGACAUUGGGUCUUGGUACUACAUGUACAGGAUAGGUGGGAGGCUUUGAAACCAGGACGCCAGUUUUGGCGGAGCCAUCCUUGGGAUACCACCCUUGUAGUACUGGGACUCUAACCAUAGGCCAUGAAUCUGGUCUUGGGACACUGUCAGGUGGGCAGUUUGACUGGGGCGGUCGCCUCCCAAAAGGUAACGGAGGCGCUCAAAGGUUCUCUCAGUACGGUCGGAAAUCGUACGUAGAGUGUAAAGGCAAAAGAGAGCUUGAUUGCAAGACAUACAGGUCGAGCAAGGAUGAAAAUCGGACUUAGUGAUCCGGUGGUUCUGCGUGGAAGGGCCAUCGCUCAACGGAUAAAAGCUACCCUGGGGAUAACAGGCUUAUCUCCCCCAAGAGUCCACAUCGACGGGGAGGUUUGGCACCUCGAUGUCGGCUCAUCACAUCCUGGGGCUGUAGUAGGUCCCAAGGGUUGGGCUGUUCGCCCAUUAAAGUGGUACGCGAGCUGGGUUCAGAACGUCGUGAGACAGUUCGGUCCCUAUCCGUCGCAGGCGUAGGAAAUUUGAGAAGACCUGUCCUUAGUACGAGAGGACCGGGAUGGACGUACCUCUGGUGUACCAGUUGUUCUGCCAAGGGCAUGGCUGGGUAGCUAUGUACGGAAUGGAUAAGCGCUGAAAGC